UCACCAUUCAGCCUGAAACAGUAUUUGAGCUGUUAUCUGGAAAUGGAUUCUUUCCUCAUAAACUUGUUAUUAAAUGCUGCAUUGUCUCAGCACAGAGGUUGAUGCAGAGGUGCUCCAACUGACUGGGCUGUAACAUGAAGGGUCCUCGAAACCAAACAUAUCAAGGAUACCAAUGAAACCAUCUGUAGCAUGGCGUACAGCAUUGUUGAGGGCUGCCAUGGAC